UAUAACAUCCUUGUUUUUAUGUGAAAAUGCUCACAAUUCUGGUCUGGGGACUCGAAAAUGUAUUUCCAUCAAUGUAGCUCAGAAAUAGAGGGAGGAUUCACUCACACAGCUCCUGCACCAAGAACAGAGUCCUCGGGGAUCUAGUUCAGGGAAGAAGGGAAAUGGAGAAGAAACGAAGGCUCCAGGAGCCCACAGUGGCAGGGGGGUCUAGGGUACCCGCUAGCAGCAGUGAUGAGGGAGAGGAGAAGAGGGCCAUCCUGGUUAAGUUAGGGGCCAGUCAGUGUAAAAACAAGUCUCCCAUCUAAAUUCGACAUAGGGAGAAAGCACACACCUUUAGAGGGCGGCUAAAUCAAGAGUCUCUCAAUGUUUUGAGUCAUCUUUUCCUUCUUGGCUCACUGCACUCACUUGGGUAAUAGCUGCUCUAUUCUUUGUGUUACAGCCUGGUGUCCUCAGGGGGCACGAAACCUCUUAUGACGAAGGGAGUCCUUAGGCCACGUGCAUGCUGUAAUUCUCAAAGUCAAGCCUUUUGAGCACUGCCAGCUCACACUCUAGAAGGGAAGCCAUUUUUAAUCCUGGCUGGCUUUAAUCCAUUUUGACUCCAAGCUGAUGUUUGAAGUAAGCCAGGAGCUGGUGGUAUGUGCCCAAAUGGCUGAAGGCUUGGCUCCCAGGUGUGCCCUCCAGGAUCUGACCUCCACCCUGGACUCUGUGGCGAUGAAGAGCCUGACAGUGCCCAUGUGGCAUUCAGGUGUGUACCCUCUCUUCCUCUGCCUGGCGAAACCACAUGUGGCUUCUAAUAUGGCUUCAUCAGUAUCAGGAGAUGCUGGUGUGAUACUAGCUCCCCGCCCUGUGUGGCACUAGCCCCACGCCCCUGAUCAUAGACCUGUGGCUAAUUUUCAGGUGGAGCAAUACUGCUACUCUUUGUUCUGCGGGCCUAAACUGAAUUACCCUGAGAAAGGAUCUAUGUGAAAUGUCUAUUUUCAUGAAAUGAGCAUUAAGCAUCAGGCAGGAAGGAAACCCCCAGUGAUGUCAAGGAGGAAGAAAAAGCUCUAUUUUGAGGGUCUACCGAUCUGUUUUUCCUGCUCUCCUCCACUCUCUGCUAAGUAUUUGCAGGCAAAGGUGUAAUAGAAAAAAGAGGGAAGGGCAGAGGGAGGUGCUUCUCGGAGGCUUUCUAGAAUCACAGGAUCCAGGCUGAACUUUGCCGUCACCUACCGUGGCCAUUAGGGACUGCAGCUGGAUCUCCAGGGUCUGCAGGGUGCGCCUCAUCUCGGUGAGCUGGCUCCGGGCGGAGGUGGCUGCGCCUGCGUCGUGGGAGAUCUGCUGCUGCAGCGAGGCGCUCUGCAGGACCGGCUCCUGGUCAGUCCUGCAGAGUGUCAGCUCGUCCAGGACUCGCCGUAAUCCGUUGAUGUCAGCCUCUACGUUUUGGUGAAGGAGAGGAGUCCCCCUUCGCUUCCAGCAAAGCCAAUACAAGCAGCAUUUCCAAGGGCACCACCAGCAUGGCUCCCACCAGGAACGC